rnacentral:rRNA from 1 species
GAUGAACGCUGGCGGCGUGCUUAACACAUGCAAGUCGAGCGAUGAUGCCCAGCUUGCUGGGUGGCUUAGUGGCGAACGGAUGAGUAACUAGCGAGUAACCUGCCCUUCACUCAGGGAUAGACAUGGUAAACUGGGGAUAGUUCCUAAUACGUACAAACGUUACACGCAAGGGUGGUGGUAGGAAGUUGUGUUUGUGGAUGGACUCGCGGCAAAUGCGCUUGAUGGGGGUGUUAUUGACUACAACGGCGACGAAGGCUAGCCGGCCUGGGAGGGUGACCGGGCACAAUGGGACUGAGACAGGGGCCAGACGCCUACGGGGGGAAGCGGUGGGGAAUAGUGCACAAUGGGCGCAAGCCGGAUACAGCGAUGUCGCGUGGGGGAUGACGGCUUGUGGGGUGGAAACCUCGUUCGGUAGGGAAGAAGCGAAAGUGACGGUACCUGCAGAAGAAGCGACGGCUAACUACGUG